rnacentral:hammerhead_ribozyme from 1 species
AUCUAACUGACGAGUCCCAAAUAGGAUGGAACAUGCGUCCUGGAU